rnacentral:rRNA from 1 species
GAUGAACGCUGGCGGCGUGCUUAACACAUGCAAGUCGAACGGAAAGGCUCCUGCUUGCAGGGGUACUCGAGUGGCGAACGGGUGAGUAACACGUGGGUGAUCUGCCCUGCACUUCGGGAUAAGCCUGGGAAACUGGGUCUAAUACCGGAUAGGACGAUGGUUUGGAUGCCAUUGUGGAAAGUUUUUCGGUGUGGGAUGAGCUCGCGGCUUAUCAGCUUGUUGGUGGGGUAAUGGCCUACCAAGGCGUCGACGGGUAGCCGGCCUGAGAGGGUGUACGGCCACAUUGGGACUGAGAUACGGCCCAGACUCCUACGGGAGGCAGCAGUGGGGAAUAUUGCACAAUGGGCGCAAGCCUGAUGCAGCGACGCCGCGUGGGGGAUGACGGCCUUCGGGUUGUAAACUCCUUUCGCUAGGGACGAAGCGCAAGUGACGGUACCUGGAGAAGAAGCACCGGCUAACUACGUG